CGUCAGAUAACAAUCGACAUCUUAACAGAACUUAGUGACUUGGUUUCAAAGCGAAUAUUAAAGUGUAUAUUUGUCAAUUAAGAAAUAUAAAAUGGAUUUAUUCGCCACUCUCUUGUUAGCAGUAUUUUGUGUUGGUAUAAAAGGAGAAUGCGACAAACAUGGAGCGGCCGAGUGUGACGGGUAUAAUCUACUCCCAGAUCAUCCACUUGGACUUCCGGUAAUCGAAGAUAUUGAGCCCUUGUGUAGGGUAGUGACAACAUUGACCAAUUGUUUGAAUGCAUCUAUUGGCGGCUGUAAACAGAGAGAACAAAUCGCCUGGAGAAGUGCCAUUUUAUCUGCUAAGUACAUCUGUAAAAACCAAAAAGCGUAUAGAGAAUCUGUGUCCUGUUUCUUCAAAGAUGAGACCGUUUCAGCCAUGGAAAAAUGUGCUGAUGAUCUGGAAUACAACAUGGAUGAAAUGGAAUGUGGAAGUUUCCCCGUGUUUAAGAACUGUACAAUCAAAGCCAUUACUACUAAUUGUCAACCGGAAGCUGUGGUAACUAUGCGCGCCAUAUUAGACGUAAACACGGUACCAAAACUUGAUGCAAUGAAGUGUCCCGUUGAAGACACAACUACUCAAAAACAGACUACGUCAUCAACUACACAAAAACAACCUACGUCAUCAACUAGACCAACCACCAUGGCCAUGCGCAGCAGUACAGAGGAAAGUGUGGAUGUCAAACAAUAUGACAAUGAGGCAGAAACAGACACGAAGACAGGGAAUAUUGGCCAGAGUAAUAACGCAAAUUAUCACGUGAUUAAUUUUUAUUUACUGGUAAUUAUUCCUCAGAUCAUAUUACUUUGUGUCCUUUAGACAAAGGAAACCAAAUUAACUAGUCUAAAACAGUUUUGAUAAUAUAAACUAAAAUCUUUCUGGGAUUUAUUCUUUUCAUUGGAGUUAAUAAUAGAAUUUAAUUGGAGUUAAUUAUAGAAUUUAAUUGGAGUUAAUUGGAGUUAAUUAUAGGAUUUAAUUGGAGUUAAUUAUAGAAUUAAAUUGGAGUUAAUUAUAGAAUUAAAUUGGAGUUAAUUAAUGAAGACACAUAUAUUGGGUGAGGACAGAACACAAAGUUAGUGUUAGUCAACAAAAGAGUUAACCCAGCCCGUUUAAACAUACUAUAUGCAAGAGUAAAUCUGCCUAUUGUUAAUUAUUAAUUAGACAUUUAAAAUUAACUUAUCCAUAUCAUAAUCAACUCUCGAUGGCAUCGCUAGACUGCGAUAUUUACUGGAUUAGGAUCCGAUCUGCUGCUCAAUGUUCAUUCAUGAUUAAUUUAAUAGGAGUUAAUUAUAGAAUUUAAUUGGAGUUAAUUAUAGAAUUAAGUUGAAGUUAAUUAUUGAAUUAAGUUGAAGUUAAUUAUAGAAUUUAAUUGGAGUUAAUUAUAGAAAAUAAGAGGAGUCAAUUAUAGAAUUGAAUUUUUGUUUUAUUUUUAAUGCAAACAAGUUAUCGUUAUAAAAAAUGCGAUAUUUACUGGAUUAGGAUCCGAUCUACUGCUAAAUGCUCAUUCAUGAUUAAAUUCGAGACUAUGUUUUUUAUCGUACCGACUUUAGUAAUGGUGAUCAAGGCUAGGUCCCAAAUUCAAUCGCUAAAUUCUCGCUUCAGAGAGAAUCAAUUUGACUGAAAUUUUCAGCAAAUUCCCUUUACAUUAUUUAGUUUUUAACUAUUAUAGUGAGAACUGCCAGCUCUUUAUCUAAUCUCUCAUAAUGUAUCUUUAAGUCAAACUUUGUAAAAUUAAAAUAGAUCAUCUUAUUUGGAGGGAUUUAUUUGCAGCUUUAAAAGUAGUUGGUUUUAUGUCUGCGAUAUCAAGUGGCCGUACAUCGUUGAUAAACUAGACUGUAUAAUAUCUUUUAUUGUAGUUUCCAAUUUAUAAUAUUUGUAUAUUUUGUAACAAUAAAUUAUGUUCUAUUUGUACCACGUGACUCACUGCCAAACAUGUUAUAUUUUCUCUCGCUGAAGAUAUUGUUAUCUAAAGAUUUAAUUACAAUAACUAUUUUUAAAAUAAAUAUUUUAUUUUUGUUAA